CCCUUAGAUGUCCUGGGCCGCACGCGCGCUACACUGAUGCAUUCAACGAGUUUUAUCUUGGCCGAGAGGCCUGGGCAAUCUUUUAAACCUGCAUCGUGAUAGGGAUAGAUUAUUGCAAUUAUUAAUCUUGAACGAGGAAUUCCUAGUAAACGCAGAUCAUCAAUCUGCAUUGAUUACGUCCCUGCCCUUUGUACACACCGCCCGUCGCAUCUACCGAUUGAAUGGUCCGGUGAAGCCUCGGGAUUGUGGCCAGUUCACUUUAUUGGGAGUUGGCUGCGAGAACUUGUCUAAACCUUAUCAUUUAGAGGAAGGUGAAGUCGUAACA
rnacentral:rRNA from 1 species